AGGACGAACGCUGGCGGCGUGCUUAACACAUGCAAGUCGAGCGGUAAGGCCCUUUCGGGGGUACACGAGCGGCGAACGGGUGAGUAACACGUGGGUGACCUGCCCUUAGCUCUGGGAUAAGCCUGGGAAACUGGGUCUAAUACCGGAUAUGACCUCGCGAUGCAUGUCGUGGGGUGGAAAGCCUUGUGCGGCUAGGGAUGGGCCCGCGGCCUAUCAGCUUGUUGGUGGGGUGAUGGCCUACCAAGGCGACGACGGGUAGCCGGCCUGAGAGGGCGACCGGCCACACUGGGACUGAGACACGGCCCAGACUCCUACGGGAGGCAGCAGUGGGGAAUCUUGCGCAAUGGGCGAAAGCCUGACGCAGCGACGCCGCGUGAGGGAUGACGGCCUUCGGUUGUAACCUCUUCAGCCCUGACGAAGCGAAAGUGACGGUAGGGGCGAGAAGAAGCACCGGCCAACUACGCGCCAGCAGCGC
rnacentral:rRNA from 1 species